rnacentral:rRNA from 1 species
GUGAGGAAUUUUCCGCAAUGGGCGAAAGCCUGACGGAGCAAUGCCGCGUGAAGGAUGAAGGCCUAUGGGUUGUAAACUUCUUUUCUCAGAAAAGAAUUAUGACGGUAUCUGAGGAAUAAGCAUCGGCUAACUCUGUGCCAGCAGCCGCGGUAAGACAGAGGAUGCAAGCGUUAUCCGGAAUGAUUGGGCGUAAAGCGUCUGUAGGUUGUUUAAAAAGUAUUCUGUCAAAGAUUAGGGCUUAACCCUAGAUAGGCAGAAUAAACUUUUAAGCUAGAGUUUAGUAGAGGCAGAGGGAAUUCCCGGUGGAGCGGUGAAAUGCGUAGAUAUCGGGAGGAACACCAAAGGCGAAGGCACUCUGCUGGGCCAAUACUAACACUGAGAGACGAAAGCGAGGGGAGCAAAUGGGAUUAGAUACCCGGGUAGUCC